rfam:Schistosoma rodhaini strain Burundi genome assembly, scaffold: SROB_scaffold0023129
CAGCUGACGAGUCCCAAAUAGGACGAAACGCGCGUCCUGGAU